UUUUAGAUAAUAAGGACAUACUAUGUACAUGUAGUUGUGCAUAUCGACGGGAAAUUGCGAUUCAAUUUUUUUUCUAGGAGUUACGCCCCUUUGAACUUAUUUACUUUAAUGUACUACUGCAACAGUUUGUCAUCGCAACUCCUCUCAAACCACACAACAGAAUUUCACGAAACCUUUUCAGAUAAUAAGGACAUACUAUGUAGUUGUGCAUAUCGACGGGAAAUUGCGAUUCAAUUUUUUUUCUAGGAGUUACGCCCCUUUGAACUUAUUUACUUUAAUGUACUACUGCAACAGUUUGUCAUCGCAACUCCUCUCAAACCACACAACAGAAUUUCAUGAAACUUUGUAGAUAAUAAGGACAUACUAUGUAGAUGUGCAUAUCAACAGGAAAUUACGGUUCAAUUUUUUUUCUAGGAGUUACGCCCCUUUGAACUUAUUUACUUUAAUGUACUACUGCAACAGUUUGUCAUCGCAACUCCUCUCAAACCACACAACAGAAUUUCAUGAAACUUUGUAGAUAAUAAGGACAUACUAUGUAGAUGUGCAUAUCAACAGGAAAUUACGGUUCAAUUUUUUUUCUAGGAGUUAUGCCCCUUUGAACUUAUUUGCUUCAAUGUACUUCUGCAACAGUUUGUCAUCUCAACUCCUCUGAAAACACACAACAUAAUUUCAUGAAAUUUUGUAGAUAAUAAGGACAUACUAUCUAUAUUGACAGUAAAUUAUUAUUCAAUAUUUUUUCUUAUACUUAUUUAAUUUCUCCAAUGACAAUGUGGGGACGUGGGGUAUGUGAACGUGCUCACUAAGGUUCUUUAAUUUUAAAUGUUUUCAA
rnacentral:lncRNA from 1 species